AACCAGCCUUCUCUUUUCAGGUCUCCAAGCAACAGAAUCUUAAAAAUGAAAUAUUCAUUUUCUGAAGCCUAAUUUAAUUCCAACAUUGACUGGGUUGCAGAGCUAUCAGAUCACAGGAUCUGAAAAAUUCUCUGGGUAAGAAAGAAUCAAGCAUUUAGUUCUACAUAACUAUUGCUGGUCCAUUAGACAAAGUUUGCUGAAUUUGAUUCUGCUUUUGGGCAACCAGACCCAUAACAGUUGGUAUGAGAAGUGGGUGGAGAAAGCAGAUGUGAACAUGGAGCCGAACUGCCAGCUGCCUGAAUGGCAAGAAGGACUCAUUGUUGGUGUCCUCCACGGCCUCCCCUCUGCACUCCAGCGCACACCUGCCUUUUUACCGGGCCACCGCUUAUCCACGCUCCUUCCAGUAACAGCAGCAUCUCGGGCAACCACCCCUGGCCUCCGACCCGCAGCUGCGAAGGUCACGUGGUUCUGGCCCCACCCACGACGCCCCAAGGACCCCGUGACCCUGACCUGGCCAAUCAGAAUUCAAACUCCCCUCACGGCAGAACUGUUGCGUAAGAGGUGGGCACGUGACUGGUCCCGGCCAAAGACUGGCAAGUUCUCCCAGACUCCGACAGAAGCACGCUGGUUCUCGUCCGUGUGGGCGGCGUUUCGGGCUCUCCUGUCAGCAUAGGGCGCUCCGCCCGAAAAAGGAGCUCGGCGCUGAGAAACGCGGGUCUGCCCCGGGGAGAGAAGGAACCUGGAAGUGUGUUCAGUCCAGGUUCAAAGUUGGGUCCACCCCUGGGCUUCCUUUCUUGCUGAACCCGUCUGCGUUGGCCUCUCUGUCCCUUGCAGCUCGGGUCCUGGCUGACUGGCCUGUUGUCCUCUGGCUGGCAGAAGCGGACAGAUGGCCAGAGGCCUCCUCCAUCGGAGGACGCUGUGGGGCACAGCCACCCCCGCCCCCUCGUGAGGACAGAAAACGGCGCCCUCUCUGGGCUGACACGGUCGCACGCGUGGUACGCAGACUCGAUUUCAGCCCCUGCGCUGCUCCGGGGGCCCUCGUGCGGGGGACAGCAUGGACGAUGGCCUUGAGGACAGCCUAGGCCUGGUGCACGUGCCUUGGGCAGAAGCCUCUCGCUGGGGACCCUGCUGGGACCAUCGUGCAGGAAGAUGCAGAUAAUGGCGAAGCCACAGGAGAUGGCUCAGAAACAAGAGAGACAGUCUCUGAUUCACAGGAUGGAAGAAAGUUGCCAACUGUCCUGCCGCGGAUUGUCGGACAUUUCCUGGGGCCUGGCUGGGCCCUGGGAAUGCAGUGGUGAGGAGAGAUGCCCUUCAACGUACCGAUCUCUCUCUUGUUGGAUGUCGGGGUCAGGAAUCACACAGACACUCAGGAGCCCCCCACGUCCCACCCACAGGGGCCGUGGCAAACAGUGGCUCAUGAUUCUUGUACUUUGAGCGAACCUGCUUAUACUUUGGAGUUUCCAGGAUUCAACUUGCUGCACACAAAUUGGAAACUGCGGCUUUGGCUGCCUGCGGGGCGAGACCUGAUGUCUGUAUGGUUCCGAUCGAUGACAAGUAAAUUUCACCAUUAGUGCUCAAUAUUCUUUUGGGGCUCGGGCUCAUUCUCUGCUAUUUGUUUGGCACCAUGGCUGAGGAGUCUGCACUUUCAAGUAAGUUAUUCCAAAAGCUAAUAUCUUGUUUGAUUCCUGGGGAUUCAGAAUGCAUUUCUUUUGGCCCAUAAGUAUCACGUGAAAAGUAGUGGGUAAGGUUUUGUAGAGGCCCCUCAAAUCCACUUGAAUGUAGGAUGUAGCCAAAGGUAGCAUCAGGCGUACAAGAACGAGGUUUCCAUCUGGGAGCAGGGAACGGGCAAGAGGGUGUCUUUGCUCUCUGUUCCAGUAGAAGACUAACCCUAAUGGAACGUUUAAAUAACUUAGACUUGCUUUUGGCUUUUUUCUCCCUUCCUUACCGGGCCCUUCUCCCACCUUCGAGGACUCGCUGACUGUCAGAAACUCUCACUAGAGGACCUCGGCCCGACCUGUCUGCCCCACAACAAAGCCCGCAUUUCUUCACCUCAUCUGCCUCCUGUGGGCCGUACAAGUACUAAGCUUAAGGGGCUGAUGUCUGUUGGCCCUGCCACGGGUACAGGAUUGUCUCUGCAGCCUUCUGUUUGGUGGAUUUCUGGGUGGACCAGCAUAGCAAGGCAGCACAGUUUAGGUGGGACUUGUGGAAGAGAGUUUUGGCUCUCUUCCUGUGUAGUCUGCCAUCUAGGAGAGUUUGCCCUCACUCCUACCUCUUUGUGUCUCCUUCCCUUUCUGCAUUCUCCACCAACAGCCUCCCUGAACUGGAGUUAGAACUGGAGUCUGAAGGCUGAGGGGGUUGGGGUCGAGCCAAGUUCUUAUAGCUUGUUAGUCACACCGUCAUAUCCACCUGCGGGGGAGGCCGGGCGACGCAGUCCUUAGCUAAGGGGCCAGGUCCUUAGCAUCUUCCUUUACUUAUGCAAGUAAGGGAAAAUGAAUUCUGGAGAGUGUAUUAACUUGCUCAGGCUGCCAUAACAAAGUACCACAGACUGGACAGCUUAAAACAACAGAAGCGUAUUUCCUCGCAGUUCUAGGGGCUCGAAGUCCAAGGUCAAGUUGUUAGCAGAGUUGAUAUUUUUCUGGGACGUCUCUCCUUGGCUUGUAGACGUUCAUGUUCUCCCCGCGCCUUCACGUGGUGUUUCCUCUGUGUCCUGAUCUCGUCUUCUGAGGACACCAGUCACACUGAACUAGGGCUCACGUGUAUGAUCUUAAUUGUCACUUUAGAGACCCUAUUUCCAAAUAGUCACAUUCUGAGGUACUGGACAUUAAGACUCCAACUCGUGAAUUUUUGGAGGCACACAAUUCAGACCACAGCACGGUGGGGGGGGGGGGGAGUCUGAGAAUCUCUGCUAUAUCCCUUCCCUGCCCUCAUGUUGUCCAAAUUUGCUUGUUCUCAUUGCCAAUUAGACUGAAGGCUUUCUGACGGAAGUGGUGAUGGCCUUUGGUCUUCAUUUCCCUCCAUAGCAUUUGGCACAGUGCUCUACACCGUGCAUGUUCAAUAAAUGCAGUUGGCUGAGUACCAGUGGUACUGAUAAUAAUAAACGUGGUGAUGCGAAAUAAGGCAGUAAUCGAUAAAUAUAUUUACGGAUCCCGGGGAAAGCAAAAGCCGAUUGGAAAAGGUUGAAAUAAAGGAGCAGAAGCUAUAUAUUAACUUACUCGUUCGUGUUCUUUGUUAAACAACUGUUGAUUCGGUACACAUUGCGGAGCAUCUUUGUUACAGGUGUUGGGGAUACCAUGGUGAACAAGGCUUUGUCCUCACAGAAGUUACAUUCUGGGGGGACAAACAGUGACAAGUGAAUUAAUUAAGAAGAUAAUACCCGCUUGCGAUAAUGGCUAUUCAAGAUAGAAGAGAAAUACUAUGAAAUUUAGUUUGAGAACGGCAUUUAGGUGUUCCAGAAGGGUUCGCUUGUGGGGAAAGCACUGGAGGCGAGACGUACAGUUGCGAAGGGAGCAGACCCUGGAAGGGUUGAAGGGAAAGCAGCAGGCAGAGACAACAGCGAGGGCCAGGGCCCUGAGCUGGGGACCCACCUGUCUGUUUAAGGAGUAGAAAGAAGGCCGGCGGGGCUGGAGCAGAGUUAGGGAGUGGGGUGAGGUGGGAGGUGAUUAAGCUGGAGGUCAGGAGGACCAGAAUGUGCAGGGCCUUGGAGGCCAAAGUGAAGGCAUGAAUUUUCCUCUAAGGAAAAUGAAGGCAAAGAACCGAUGAUGCCCGAUUAAACUCGUGGAUAUACUACUGAUAACAACUUCCCUUUCUAAGCCACGGUACACAGAGUACUUCCAAGGCCGCCAUUAUGGUCAUGCUUUUAGUGGCUUGAAUUUUUUUUUAAUUUUUUUAAAUGUUUAUUUAUUUUUGAAAGAGAGAGAGAGAUGGAGUGUGAA